rnacentral:rRNA from 1 species
AUACGGAGGACGCGAGCGUUAUCCGGAUUCAUUGGGUUUAAAGGGUGCGCAGGCGGCCGUGCAAGUCAGCGGUGAAAGCCCGGGGCUCAACCCCGGAAGUGCCGUUGAUACUGCAUGGCUGGAAUGCGGUCGAGGCGGGCGGAACGUGGCGGGGAGCGGGGGAAUGCGUAGAUAUGCCGCAGAAAGCCGAUAGCGGAGGCAGCUCGCCAGGCCUGCAGUGACGCUCUGGCACGAAAGCGUGGGGAUCGAACAGGAUUAGAUACCCUGGUAGUCCACGCCGUAAACGAUGGGCGCUCGUCGUCGGCGGCAGACAGUCGGCGGCCAAGCGAAAGCGAUAAGCGCCCCACCUGGGGAGUACGGUCGCAAGGCUGAAACUCAAAGGAAUUGGCGGGG